rnacentral:tRNA from 1 species
CGAGUUCGACGAGCGGCGAUAGUUGGUCAACUCGCUCUCGGCGCGUUGCAGCUCGCGUUCGAGCCGCGGCAGUUCGCCCA